UACGAAGGGGGCUAGCGUUGCUCGGAAUCACUGGGCGUAAAGGGUGCGUAGGCGGGUCUUUAAGUCAGGGGUGAAAUCCUGGAGCUCAACUCCAGAACUGCCUUUGAUACUGAGGAUCUUGAGUUCGGGAGAGGUGAGUGGAACUGCGAGUGUAGAGGUGAAAUUCGUAGAUAUCCGGAGGAACACCGGCGGCGAAGGCGGCUUCCUGGACCGACACUGACGCUGAGGCGCGAAAGCUAGGGGAGCAAACGGG
rnacentral:rRNA from 1 species